GGGUUAAGUCCCGCAACGAGCGCAACCCCUAUUGUUAGUUGCCAUCAUUCAGUUGGGCACUCUAGCGAGACUGCCGGUAAUAACCGGAGGAAGGUGGGGAUGACGUCAAAUCAUCAUGCCCCUUAUGACCUGGGCUACACACGUGCUACAAUGGUUGGUACAACGAGUUGCGAGUCGGUGACGGCGAGCUAAUCUCUUAAAGCCAAUCUCAGUUCGGAUUGUAGGCUGCAACUCGCCUACAUGAAGUCGGAAUCGCUAGUAACCGCGAAUCAGCAGGUCGCGGUGAAUACGUUCCCGGGCCUU
rnacentral:rRNA from 1 species